rnacentral:rRNA from 1 species
GUAGGUGGCAAGCGUUGUCCGGAAUCAUUGGGGCGUAAAGCGCGCGCAGGCGGUUCUUUAAGUCUGAUGUGAAAGCCCACGGGCUCAACCGUGGGAGGGUCAUUGGAAACUGGAGAACUUGAGUACAGAAGAGGAAAGCGGAAUUCCACGUGUAGCAGUGAAAUGCGUAGAGAUGUGGAGGAACACCAGUGGCGAAGGCGGCUUUCUGGUCUGUAACUGACGCUGAGGCGCGAAAGCGUGGGGAGCAAACAGGAUUAGAUACCCUGGUAGUCCACGCCGUAAACGAUGAGUGCUAAGUGUUAGGGGGUUUCCGCCCCUUAGUGCUGCAGCUAACGCAUUGAGCACUCCGCCUGGGGAGUACGGCCGCAAAGGCUG